rnacentral:antisense_RNA from 1 species
CUUGAUGGAGCCGAGCAGCAGCGGCCGGUCCCCCGGCCGGUCCUGGCCGUAGGUGGCCAGCAGCGCCUGGGCUUC